rnacentral:lncRNA from 1 species
CCAUUCCCAAAGCCUCAAUCGGGUCUGAAGCAAUACAGCAAAGACAUUGUUUUUUUUGUAAAGCAUGGUGACACUGCAAAGAGGGUUUGAGACUUUGGCACUCUGGGGAUUAAAGACAUGGGAACUCUUCUCAUCUGUAGGCUAGGAUACUUUCAAAAAAGAGUUUGGAGAUGGGAGAAGGGAACAGGGUGGGGCAAAAGUGUUGUUGCCAUUACUCUGAUGCUCUUUGGCUCCAAUAUGAGGUUUAGUUUGGAAGUUUCCUCUCAUAGGUCAUCAAUAGUACUGUAAUUCUUCCUGAAUUUCUUAUGCUUAUCUUCAUCAGUUCAUGUGUUUUAUCAAAUUCUUCUAAUAAUUGAUAACAAUUAUCAGUGAUAAUUUUUGUUAACAAAAUACGAACCAUUUGGUGGACAGAGACAGGGAUUCUUCCUUAUUUGAAUAAGCUCCACUGGCAGAAGGGGAGACCUUCCUAGAUGCCUUUUAGAUCCACCCAAUGAUAAAUCAGUCAGUUGACAAAUAUUCAUGAAGUGUCUGCUUUGCAACAGGAACUUUGUUAAACUCUGAACAUGUGAAAACUUAAAACAAACAAACAAAAACCUAAUGUCAGCCUUUCCCUACUUCCUACCCUUAAGAUAUCUUGUCUUCUUAUAUUUUGACUAAUAAUUGGGGGAAUCUACCUUUUUUUUUAUUAAAGCUUUUAAUUUUCAAAACACAUACAUAGAUAAUUUUCAACAUUCACCAUUGCAAAACCUUGUGUUCCAAUUUUUUUCUCUCCCUUCUCUCCCACCCCCUCCCCUAGAUGGCAAGUAAUCCAAUAUAUGUUAAACAUGCAAUUCUUUAUACAUAUUUCUACAAUUGUCAUACUACACAAGAAAAAUUAGAUCAAAAAGAAAAAAAUGAGAAAGAAAACAAAAUGCAAGUAAAUAACAAAAAAGGUGAAAAUACUAUGUUGUGAUCCACACUCAGUACCCACUGUUCUGUCUCUAGGUGCAGAUGACUCUCUUCAUCACAAGACCAUUGGAACUGGCCUGAAUCAUCUCAUUGUUUGAAAAGAGCCAUGUCCAUCAGAACUGAUCAUCAUAUAAUCUUGCUGUUGCUGUGUACAAUGAUCUCCUGGUUCUCUUUAUUUCAUGUAAAUCUCUCCAGACCUCUCUAAUAUCAUCCUGCUGAUCAUUUCUUAUAGAACAAUAAUAUUGCAUAACAUUCAUAUACUAUAACAUUCAUCCAUUCUUCAAUUGAUGGGCAUCAACUCAGUUUCCAGUUAGAGUCUACAUUGAAAUGAAGCUGUGCCCUGAACUGGAGAUACAAGAGAGAAAAGCAAACCAUUUUAGCCAGCAAGAACAUGAUCAUCCUCUCAAGGUAUAAAUUUGGAGGAUCAAAUAUUUCAGACCCUUUUCAUUAAAGAAGGUGCCCACUAAUUCCUUCCACAAUCUACAAAGUAAAAUAUAUAGGAAGGAUUUUUUUUCUCCAAAGUGUAACCUGAUCAGACAGCUAUUUAUUGUUUGCACCAGUCAGUCUUUUUUUGAGUGUGUUAUUUAUUUGAGAGAAAUGUUUUCCUUUUCAAGCCAUGGGCCAGGCCAUUUGUUUUCUCACUUGGUGUUCUUUUUGCCUCAAGUCGUCCCUAACGACUGCCAUCUUUUAGAUUAUUCUCCUUAAGAAGCAUGACUUCCUCCUCCCCUCUACUGUCGUCAUGAUCACCACCAUCACCAAACACCAGCAUGUAGCACAGAUUGCGGCCUAAGUUCUUGGAGAGAAGCCAGUGCAUUUGUCAGGAAUUGAAAAGUUUUGGAGCUGGUUCGCAGAGUUUCUGGUACACAAAGUGUUGGCUUGGAAGCAUGAAAUAACCAACUUCUGUCUCAAGUGAAAGAGAAGAAAUGAUGUCUGCUCUUCAUCUAGGAAAGGAAAAUCUGGACAAAAACAGGUGAUCUGGUAUGCAAAGAGAAAGAGAGAGAUUGAGAGAGAGAAAGGACUGCCUGGCCAGCGGCUCUGGAAUGCCUAAAGGAUAAUUUCAGCUAUACUUCCGGUCCAGAGCCAUGUUGCAGAUUAAACCUCAUCAGAUUACUUUCAGAAGCUAAACGGCAGACUUGAAAAUUCUUCUUGAAUGAUUCCCUUGACUGGACUAGAAAUGUAUCCUGCCUUGGAUAUUCUCAGAGUAAGGGUAUAGAAAUGUGUCCCCAGGAGAUGUAGUGGAUGUAGGGGUGGGAAACUUCCAUCUACUGCUAUUGCAGAAGAUGAGACAAAUGAUGCGGAAAGAAAUUUCUAUAAGCUACCCAGGUGUGAUUUGGAACAGAAUUUGACCUACCAUUUUUUUCUACUUUGGUCCAGUCUAAAGAAAAUAUUCUACCCAGAGAUUCUUCAUAUCAUAGGCACACCCUAGAUUAACUCUUCUGUUUUUGAGACCUGUUCUGAAAAUCUUGGGUGAGGACGGGAAUGAAUAUCCAUUUCUCUGCAAUAUAUUCUGAGGACAAGUAUAACAAUUAUUCAGUCUUCAUGGAACUUCAUCCCCAGCAAAAGUGAGUACAUUCAUUUUAAAACCACAUAAGUAGUAGCUUUCAAUCUGGUGGUUUUCAUAUAUUGCCAUUUAAAUUUUCUUUCUCUGUCCUCCCUAUUGGAGACUUCUGAACUGAAC